UACGUAGGGGGCGAGCGUUGUCCGGAUUUAUUGGGCGUAAAGGGUGCGUAGGUGGCGCCGUAAGUCGGGUGUGAAAUUUCGGAGCUUAACUCCGAAACUGCAUUCGAUACUGCGGUGCUUGAGGACUGGAGAGGAGACUGGAAUUCAUGGUGUAGCAGUGAAAUGCGUAGAGAUCAUGAGGAAGACCAGUGGCGAAGGCGGGUCUCUGGACAGUUCCUGACACUGAGACACGAAGGCCAGGGGAGCAAACGGG
rnacentral:rRNA from 1 species